UACAGAGGUGGCAAGCGUUGUUCGGAAUUACUGGGCGUAAAGGGCGCGUAGGCGGUCUUUUAAGUUCCGUGUGAAAUCCCUCGGCUCAACUGGGGAACUGCACGGGAAACUGGAAGGCUUAGUUCGGGAGAGGAAGCGGAAUUCCGGGUGUAGCGGUGAAAUGCGUAGAUAUCCGGAGGAACACCGGUGGCGAAGGCGGCUUCCUGGACCGACACUGACGCUGAGGCGCGAAAGCUAGGGGAGCAAACGGG
rnacentral:rRNA from 1 species